rnacentral:tRNA from 1 species
GCGCCCAUAGUUCAGUUGGAUCAGAACACCAUCCUUCUAAGAUGGGAGUCGCAGGUUCGAGCCCUGCUGGGCGCG